rnacentral:rRNA from 1 species
GAUGAACGCUGGCGGCGUGCCUAAUACAUGCAAGUCGAGCGAACAGAUGAGGAGCUUGCUCCUCUGACGUUAGCGGCGGGCGGGUGAGUAACACGUGGCUAACCUACCUAUAAGACUGGGAUAACUUCGGGAAACCGGAGCUAAUACCGGAUAAUAUAUUGAACCGCAUGGUUCAAUAGUGAAUGACGGUUUUGCUGUUACUUAUAGAUGGUUCCGCGCCGCAUUAGCUAGUUGGUAAGGUAACGGCUUACCAAGGCAACGAUGCGUAGCCGACCUGGGAGGGUGAUCGGCCACACUGGAACUGAGACACGGUCCAGACUCCUACGGGAGGCAGCAGUAGGGAAUCUUCCGCAAUGGGCGAAAGCCUGACGGAGCAACGCCGCGUGAGUGAUGAAGGUCUUCGGAUCGUAAAACUCUGUUAUUAGGGAAGAACAAAUGUGUAAGUAACUAUGCACGUCUUGACGGUACCUAAUCAGAAAGCCACGGCUAACUACGUG